rnacentral:piRNA from 1 species
UCUGUGAAGGUGGUGUGUGACAUGUUGUCAGU